rnacentral:rRNA from 1 species
UACGAAGGGUGCAAGCGUUAAUCGGAAUUACUGGGCGUAAAGGGUGCGUAGGCGGGUCUUUUAAGUCAGGGGGUGAAAUCCUGGAGCUCAACUCCAGAACUGCCUUUGAUACUGAAGAUCUUGAGUUCGGGAGAGGUGAGUGGAACUGCGAGUGUAGAGGUGAAAUUCGUAGAUAUUCGCAAGAACACCAGUGGCGAAGGCGGCUCACUGGCCCGAUACUGACGCUGAGGCACGAAAGCGUGGGGAGCAAACAGG